CCUACGGGAGGCAGCAGUAGGGAAUAUUGCUCAAUGGGGGAAACCCUGAAGCAGCAACGCCGCGUGGAGGAUGAAGGUUUUCGGAUCGUAAACUCCUUUUGUUAGAGAAGAUAAUGACGGUAUCUAACGAAUAAGCACCGGCUAACUCUGUGCAAGCAGCCGCGGUAAUACGGAGGGUGCAAGCGUUACUCGGAAUCACUGGGCGUAAAGAGCGCGUAGGCGGGAUAGCAAGUCAGAUGUGAAAUCCUAUGGCUUAACCAUAGAACUGCAUUUGAAACUGUUAUUCUAGAGUAUGGGGGAGGUAGGUGGAAUUCUUGGUGUAGGGGUAAAAUCCGUAGAGAUCAAGAGGAAUACUCAUUGCGAAGGCGACCUGCUAGAACAUAACUGACGCUGAUGCGCGAAAGCGUGGGGAGCAAACUGGAUUAGAUACCUGGUAGUC
rnacentral:rRNA from 1 species